GCUUGUCUCAAAGAUUAAGCCAUGCAUGUCUAAGUGUAAAUAAGUCUAUACUGUGAAACUGCGAAUGGCUCAUUAAAUCAGUUAUCGUUUAUUUGAUGAUCUCUUACUACUUGGAUAACCGUAGUAAUUCUAGAGCUAAUACAUGCACAAAAUCCCGACUUACGAAGGGAUGUAUUUAUUAGAUACAAACCAACAUCGUGGUGAUUCAUAAUAACUUUUGCGGAUCGCAUGGCCUUGAGCCGGCGACGAAUCAUUCAAAUUUCUGCCCUAUCAACUUUCGAUGGUACGGUAUUGGCCUACCAUGGUUACCACGGGUAACGGGGAAUUAGGGUUCGGUUCCGGAGAGGGGGCCUGAGAAAUGGCCACCACAUCCAAGGAAGGCAGCAGG
rnacentral:rRNA from 1 species